UACAGAGGAGCCAAGCGUUGUCCGGAUUGACUGGGCGUAAAGCGCACGCAGGCGGACGCGCGCGUGGGGUGUGAAAUCUGGCCGCUUAACGGCCAGGCGCCAUCCCAUACGGCGGGUCUGGAGCCUUGCAGAGGUCGGUGGAAUUCCCGGUGUAGCGGUGAAAUGCGCAGAGAUCGGGAGGAACACCCGUAGCGAAGGCGGUUCUCUGGGCCGGUACUGACGCUGAGGAGCGAAAGCGUGGGGAGCAAACAGGG
rnacentral:rRNA from 1 species